rnacentral:rRNA from 1 species
UACGGAGGGUGCAAGCGUUGUCCGGAUUUAUUGGGUUUAAAGGGUGCGUAGGCGGCCCUGUAAGUCAGCGGUGAAAUCCCAGGGCUCAACCCUGGAACUGCCGUUGAUACUGCAGGGCUUGAGUUCGGUUAAGGCGGGCGGAACUGGUGGAGUAGCGGUGAAAUGCAUAGAUACCACCAAGAACCCCGAUUGCGUAGGCAGCUCGCUGAGCCGAAACUGACGCUGAGGCACGAAAGCGUGGGGAGCGAACAGG